CCUACGGGAGGCAGCAGUAGGGAAUCUUCCACAAUGGGCGAAAGCCUGAUGGCGCAACGCCGCGUGGGUGAAGAAGGUCUUCGGAUCGUAAAACCCUGUUGUUAGAGAAGAAAGUGCGUGCGAGUAACUGUUCACGUUUCGACGGUAUCUAACCAGAAAUCCACGUCUAACUACGUGCCAGCAGCCGCGGUAAUCCGUAGGUGGCAAGAGUUAUCCGGAUUUAUGGGGGGUAAAGGGCACGCAGGCGGUCUUUUAAGGCUGAUGUGAAAGCCUUCGGCUUAACCGGAGUAGUGCAUUGGAAACUGGGAGACUUGAGUGCAGAAGAGGAGAGUGGAAAUCCAUGUGUAGCGGUGAAAUGCGGAGAUAUAUGGAAGAACACCAGUGGCGAAAGCGGCUCUCUGGUCGGUAACUGACGCUGAGGUUCGAAAGCGUGGGUAGCAAACAGGAUUAGAUACCCCGGUAGUC
rnacentral:rRNA from 1 species